rnacentral:rRNA from 1 species
AUGGGGGAUUUCAACAAGAUCCUCUACCACUUUGAGAAGCAAGGAGGGGUGCCCAGAGCCCAAAUUCAGAUGGAUCGUUUUCGUGAUGCUUUAAAUUUGUGUAACUUGAACGACCUUGGUUUCGAGGGUGAUGUAUUUACUUGGCGCAAUGGUUACAUUCGUGAGCGUCUUGAUAGGGCUGUUGCAAAUCCUCAAUGGUGUAUGCAUUUUCCAUGUUACAAGGUACGCAACGGCUGCCCUGAACAUUCAGACCAUAGCCCGGUCAUC